rnacentral:lncRNA from 1 species
AAAUGUCUCCAACGUUGAUUACAAAAGCAUCGGUGAGUGGUUUAAUAGAAAUCCACUGUCCAUCUUUUCGUAUUUGAAGACCGUCAAUCUCAUUUGCUUGCAGAAGGAUGGUUAAGGCCCCCGCAUCAGAAUGAGGAUUCAGUCCAAUGACAUUUUCUGGUUGGGGACAUGGAGGGUAGUAAUUCAUCCUCAUCGAUUGCAUUAUAUCAUCAAAUAACUCUAGCAUUUCAUUUUGUUCAAUUUUAAGAGCUUUUUCCAUAUGUUUGAUGAUUGUGAUGCAAACUUUUUUCAGUUCUAAACAAUAGUUCUCUAAAUUAUCUCUGCAAUAUGAAACAAUGUUAGUGCAAAAUAAUAUUGUCAAAUAGCCACUAUAAUAGCAAUAUACCUUGUCACAUUGUGGAAUUCGAACAAACAACUAAUUUUUGUGAUCUGUGAUUGACAAAUUGUAGAUCGAAAAUACAGAUGAAGUGAGAAAAAGAUAUAAAACCUGAAUGGUUGCGGAAUAUUUGGAAAUAAGCGGGGAUUCCUUGCAUAUGAUGGAAGAGUCGUAGUGAAGAAUAAAUCUGCCCAUUCUAACUUUUGAUCCUCAGAUACAACAAACAAUUGACCAAACCCCUCGAUAUCUUCUGGAGUUUGCCAAAAUUUCUUCUUCACUUCCAUUGGAAGACUUAAGAACUCUUUAACACCUAUCUUCACAUUAUCCACCAAUGAAGGAUUCACUCCAUGAUUAAUCAGCUGUAAUCAAUUUCAAUUUUAGAUAUCUUACAAAUUUAUGAAAAUCUAUGAAAGUGUUGAAUUGCAUUAAUCAGACAAUACAAAGUUUUCACCACCGUUAACAAUGGGAUACAAAAAAUGAGUUCUUUCCUUCCAACCGAAUUCUUCCCAUACACAAAAGUCAGGAAUUGAAUCCCCGACGACUUGCUUAAGAGGCUAAAGAGUAAAGACCCUCGCCACUUAGAACAAUUCAUUUUUGGUCUAAAGCUAGCAUUAUUAUUCACAGAAAAAAAGAAUUCAAACAGAACAGAACCAGCAACAUUGAAAAUAGAAAACACUAGUUCUGAAUAAGAAACAUGCAAGUAUCUCCCACAAACAAUCUUACUUCUUGCCAUACAGCAUCAAAGAUAACAUUUCUAGCAAGUUAGACAACCGUGUAGUUAAAUUAACCACCUUAUUAUUGUAAAAAAAAAAUAGAAAUUAACCACCUUAUUACAAAUUAUCAAUAAAUCUAAGAAUCUAAGUAUAAACUCUUUUAAUUAAGGGCCCUGAAGAGUGAUCAUCAAGUCCAUAGAUAAUAUAAAUUUUUUUUUUGUUUUCACCAUAAGUAUCUGGCUCGCUGAACCGCCUAAUCUAGUUCGAGGGUCAGUGUUGCAUCAAGUGGUUUCAGUCCCCUUCCGAUCACAGUUACGAGAAAUCGAACCAUGGUCAUUCCUACCAAGUCCAGCGUCAAUUACCACUGAACCAAACUAACGAAAUUUCAUUUGAAUUUACUUUAAAUUUUAUAGUAAUUAUUAUGUAAACGUUUCUUCAGAUAGUUCAAACUAGUGAAAAACAUAUAUAAUAUAGGAUGAUUAAUAGUGCAAAGUUCAAAAAAAUAGUUCAAAGUUGAAACCUGGAAGAACCCCCAUUCUUUACAUGCAUGAUCUAGCUUCUCUAGCUCAAAUGAAUCUUCAGAUAACAAUUUACUAAGGUCAAUGAUUGGAACUUGUUGUAAAGAAGUUGUAUUGGAUACAUCAAUAGGAUCUUGAUUUGGUUGAAGGUAUUGUUUUGGAACUUGUAUGCUGGGUUGCUUUGCAAUCUCUUCGACAGAAGGCACCAAUAAGGAGGUUCCAAACUUAGACAUUUUUAUUAUUGUUGAAUUAUGUUGCAUAGAUUGAUAAGGUUUCAAUUGAACAUAUUACGAAGAAUUGUUUAAUAUAUACUACAUGUUGGAGGAAAAAUCCAAAUUAAUUACUCCCUCCAUUUCAUUUCUUUUGACUUUUUAAUACUGGUUGGAGAUUGAAUCCAAUUUGAUUACUCCCUCCAUUUCAUUUCUUUUGACUAUACACACUUUAAAAAUAAUAAUAGCGAGUUGUGUUGAUUACAAUCAAAAAUAUAUUAUUACUUUUAUUUUACAUGAAAAAUAAUUUAUUAAAGAAAUUACUUUUUCAUCUUAAAAUAAACGAUAUAGUUGAUAAUUUCAUGUUUGUCAAUAUAUAUACAACUUUAAUCAUUAAUAUUUUCAAUUUUGUAUGAGUAAAAAUUAUAAAAAAUUGAUGUUUUGAAAAUACUAAUGGAAACAAAUUUAAUAUCUUAUAUAUUAAUAUUUGUUUUCAUUUAUUUGUGAAAAAAUACGGUCAAAACGAGAUAUGUGAAUAGUGUAUCUCGUCAAACUAUGUCAUUUAAAAUGGAAUAAAGAGUAUUUACAUAAUAGUUUAAAUACAAUAAAUAAAAAUAAGGUUAAAUAUGUUCUUGAUUUCUUAUUAAAUUACCAAAUUUCCUUUAUGGUUUCUAUAAAAAAAAANNNNNNNNNNNNNNNNNNNNNNNNNNNNAAAAAAAAAAAGAAGUUACAUGUUAUGAUAUCUAUAAAAUUGUUAUGUACGUAGUUUUAAUUUUUGUUGUUAAAUUAAUAUGUAUUUUUAAUAAUUAUUUUACAUAUAUUUAUAAGAUUUUAAAAAGUUCCUCGAAAAGAACUUAAAAUUUAAUUUUUAAGUGAAAAUUUUUGUUACUUUUAUCUUUAUAUUUUGAAAUUUAAAAUUUUUAUAUUAAACUCUUCUCUUUUUAAAAGUUUCUAAAGUUUUAUAAAGAAAUUUUUAUAGUAUUCAAAAUAUGCCUAAAAAAUAUUUAUUCAAAAAUUUAAAAUUUUAGUAAACAAUUUUAAAUUUAAAAAAAAAAUAACAGUGACUAAAACAGUAUACAUAAAAAUUCUGUAAGGAACUUAAUUAAACUUUAGGCCAAUGAUAAUUAUUAUUCACUACAAUAAGAUUUGGGGUUAUUACAAACACAUGACACUUUUUAUAGGGACCAAAACCAAAAUAUAGUAAUUUUAUAAAGACAAAAAAAAUAUUUAACAAAUAAAAUAUAUUAGGUAGGAAUGUGCAAAAUUUCUACAAUACGUUCAACAUGCGCUUCACUUCGUUGUCACGCCAAUUAUCAAAUAUUUGUACAAUACGUUAAAUUUGUGUUCAACUAUGUUUCCAGGUUUCAACUAUUGUUUUGAUUUUAAUUUUCUAAUUUUUGGUACAUAGAUGAAAAUUGCAAAGUUCUCAUAAACUCACAAACACAUAAAUGAGGGAGUCGGAGUUCGAAUUUCAAUCAUGACGUUCGACCUAACACUACAAAGAAUACAUGGCGUCCGAUCUAACACUUAUUUCGAUAUUUUUAUCAGUUAAGCUAACACUUAUCGAUGUUUUGAUUUUAGAGUUUCCCUUUGUAUAAUUAAAAGUUAAAAAAAGUUAAUUAAAAACUAAUAAAAUCUAAUUAUGAUUAGCAAUCUUUUUACGUCACCCCUUUAGUCACCACUUUACUAACUAUUUUAAUUAAAGGGUCAAACACAAAACAUUAAUAUACUGAAAAGACAUUUAAUAUUGACCCNNNNNNNNNNNNNNNNNNNNNNNNNNNNNNNNNNNNNNNNNNNNNNCCUAAAAGUACGCCAUGCAUGCUCAAGUGGAAGUGCAUUAACCACACAUGUAAAUUUGUUCUCUCUUUAUUCGAGAAGAAUGUCUAAAUAUAUUUAAUUUUAAAGAUUUUAGAUUUAUAUUUCUGUUUAGAAUCGUUAGGAUUUAUAUUUAUAAUAGCUUAAGAUUUAUUUUAUUUAUUUAAAGAUAUAAUUUUUUUUGUAAUCAACUUAUUUUUGAGUUUAUGCAAACAGCUUAUGUAAUUUUUAUGUAUUAUUAUAAGUUUGUCAGGGUAGUUUAUGAUAAAAUAGCUUAUAAAAAUAUAAUUUUCACUAGUGUGAACUUAUAAAAUAGCAUAAAACUUAAUUUAUAUUGCAUAAGUUGUUUGCAUAUAAGUACUGGACAGAACAGUACGGGACAGUAUAAGACAGAACAAUAUAGGAUAAAGUUUAAGAUGUUGAACAAAUUUUGUCUUUGUACGAUGUUUGAUGAACAAAAGGUUAUUUUGAUUUUUUAGACAACUUGUGCAGAGGACAAAAUGUUGUUUCGUGGUUCAGUUGAGGACAAGAAUUUAGGUUUUUUGUCCAAUCCCUUGGCCCCUAGUUUGUCCUAUUCCAGAAACAGUUUUUAUAUCAAACACAAUACAACUAAAGUUGUCUUGUCCAGACCAGUACCUUAUUUUUUAGCGAAUCAAACGCAGUAUCGCUUAAAAACAAUAGUUCUCUUAUAGUAGGUACUUUAGUUAAAUUAUAGAUAAACGAAUUUGAAGUAAUAAACACACAAGUAUAAGAAUCACAUGCUAAACCGGUUACGGUCGAGCCGAUCAAGAACCACAUACUUCUUAAGCACAGCAGUGAAAACUACAAUUUUAUAAACAUAAAAACAUCAAAAUAUUCUGCUUUUUCCAUGUAAUUUCUAAAGUGAUUUUGAAUAAUUUUGAAAGUAUUUUGGUGUCGUAAGUCAUCCUUGGUUUGAUGCAAUUUUUUCCAAAAUUUUCCAUUUAGCCACGGUUUUAGCCAUGGUGUAACCGUGGCUAAAUAACAUACCAGCACACUUUUGAAAAGUGUUCUGGUAAAAUAUGUUAAAGAGAUAAAUGUAAUUUUAACAUACCAGCACAAUUUUAAAAUAUCAGCACACUUUUGAUGUAGUUUUAACAUACCAGCACACUUUUAACAUAUCAACGCACUUUAAUAUAAGGGUAGAAUGAUAAUAUUUUAAAAUAUGUUGGGGUAAAGAGAUAAAUAUAGUGACAGAAAAAAAAAAUUCACUUUAUUUUCCUUUCAAUUCUAAAAACUCUAAGAUACAGUACUUAUUUUUUAUAAAAAAAGGUUAAAUGUUGUUUUUAUUUUUUAUUAUAAUGAGGUUAAAAGAUAGAGUUGUCAAUAAGAACUAUGUAUUCCGCCACGUCACCCCACUUUCUUUGUAUGACAUGAGAGAUUGACAGUUUCUUAUUGGAUGACCGCGUAAAAUUAUUUUAUAUCAUGCAUCUCCAUUAAACUGUAAAAGAUAUGUUUGAUAAUAUAUUAUAAUUUUUCUUAAAAUAUAAAAAAAAAAAUCUUACUAGAACUUUUAAAAAUAAUUAUUUGGCCUAACUUUAAUAAAUAUUUGUUGUUUUGUAUAAACUCAAAAAUAAAUCAAUUCAAACGGAGGUUAAUUCCCAUUUUACUAUCAACUUCGCGUUCUCUUCCAUCGCGAUGGGAUCAAUGGAUUCCGAUGCUUCCAUAGUUGACCCACUGUUAGACUUAAUGGUCCCAAUCUAUUUGGGUUGAAUAGAUCAUUAAUUUAAAAUCAGAAAUGAUCAACAAAGAAAACGUUAUCGGAAAGACCAAAUGCCUAUAAAACAGUUUUUAAAAAAUAAUUCUGGCGCAACGUACUUAUGAGACUAAGAAAUUUUGCGCUAUAACAUGAAUCAAAUAAACACCUUCCAUCAAAUUAAUAUAGAUAUUAAUUUUGAUUGCAAUGCACAAGUACACUAGUUAGUAGUUAUUAUCAAAACUUAGAAAGCAAAAAUCAUAGUUUUGACAAUUUAUCAAGCACCUUGUGUGCAAUAUGAACUAGACUAAAAUUAAUCAUUCUGGUUUAAACAUUUAGUCAAUUACAGGUAUGAAACCUUGCAACCGUUGUUUAUGAAAGUUUAAUAAUAGUAAUUUUCAAUUCCCAUGAUAGUACAAAUCCACAUUAUUGAAUUAUUUAAUUUUCUUUAGCUACCACCACAUAUGGGGUAACUAUUUUCAGACAUGUUUAUAUUUAUCCCAAAUAGUCCUACAAAACUUUUAUGGCUUAUUAUUCUCAUUUUGGAUUCUCAUAACAUCAAGGCAUGAUUUUCCUUGUAGCUGGCCUGAAAAGAAUACUUUGUAGUAGUCUUCCACUGUAAGUGUUUUGAACAAUGCAGGCAUUUCAGAAGUAACAAGACUUGGUGUUGGACCUAAAACCUUGCUCAUUGGAGGUCUGUGAAAUGUUGCAAUGGAAAUCCUCUCUUUCUUUGAGUUAACUGUAGCUCGAUGUUCAAUACUUCGAUAAAUUCCAUUGGUCAGAAUCUGCAAAACCAUUUAAGGUGAGUAUUAAUAAUUCUUAAGCCUCAGAGUAUUGAUAUAUUUAUCAGUAAGAGUGUAAAACUGAUGUACAUAGUCAUACUUUGCGACAUUGCGACCAUUUUAGUAUCUAAAAUUACAUAUGUCAAAUGAAUGGAAUGGAAUUACAAAAUUAUUUCUGAAGUUGAACAUCUUCAACUACAUUAAUUCUUUUGGAUCAGUCAAUUUUUGCUUUCGAAUUAUCUCAAGAGACUAAAGUGAAAGCCUUUGAAUUUCAGCGAUAGUUAACUUCGCGUUGUGUGCAGUUAUACAACCCUUGACUAUAGACAGUCAUAUCUCGACCGUCCAAAUAAGAUCAAACGGUCUAUAUUUCAAGUUCUAUAUUUUAAAUUUAAAAAAAUAAAAAAUUUCAUUAAAAUAUAGACUGCCAGAUCUUGAACAGAUGGUCCAAAUGCGUGUGAGUGCACGCAUUCACACUGCACCUAUUCCCCACUUGGUGCUUCAAACAUCAGACCGCAAUAAUUUUACUAAUUUAGUGUAAAAUUUAUUCACACAUAGCUCCACCGGCUAAAUGUGCUUGGCGCUUGCAUUUGAUUUUGGUUCUUACACACUGAUAACACAUAAAAGGGUAAAAUAAUAAGAGAAAAUAUGACUAAUUUUCUAUCAAUUAUUACCUCAAAAAUGUCUCCAAUGUUUAUGACAAAAGCAUUGGUGAGUGGUUUAAUAGAAAUCCACUGUCCAUCUUUUCUUAUUUGGAGACCUUCAAUAUCACUUGCUUGGAGAAGGANNNNNNNNNNNNNNNNNNNNNNNNNNNNNNNNNNNNNNNNNNNNNNNNNNNNNNNNNNNNNNNNNNNNNNNNNNNNNNNNNNNNNNNNNNNNNNNNNNNNNNNNNNNNNNNNNNNNNNNNNNNNNNNNNNNNNNNNNNNNNNNNNNNNNNNNNNNUUGGGACAAGGAGGGUAGUAAUUGAACCUCAUUGAUUGAUUUAUAUCAUCAAAUGAUUCUAGUAUUUCAUUUAGUUCAACUUUAAGAGCUUUUUCCAUAUGUUUGAUGAUUGUGAUACAAACUUUUUUCAAUUCUAAACAAUAGGUCUC